rnacentral:lncRNA from 1 species
UUGCUUCUGCGUUCGAACCCGGCGAAAUCCUGUGCCUGGUUUGCACCCACCGCCGUUGGUAUUUUGGGAGUCGGCGGCUUCACCGCGAUUCUGAUCCAGAGCGCCGGUCGGAUUUCCUUUCCUUGGCCGUCGCUGCUGUUAUUCCGAUGCAGACAAGACGACGAGAGUUCGCCGCCCGUCUUCUCUUCCCGCUCGGCAGUAGGUGGUUCGCUGCCCCCUGGGCAGCCGGCCCUUCCCUCC